AGCAGUCUAAGCUGUUGGUUGCUGCAAUUUUAGGCGUCGGCACUUAUGCAGAGGCGUAGGAAGGGGGGGGGGCAAGGGGGGCAACCGCCCCCUCAAGAAGAUGUUGAGGAGGCAAUGAGAAUGUGAACCUUUACGUUAGCAUGGAGUCCACACCACCACACACACAUCUUCCAUAUUUCAUCAGACUGCAAAUCUUUAUUUUCGGCCUACAUUCAGUCCCUAUGGCAACGCCACUGGAACACUCUGGGCCAAAACAAGUUAUAUGCCACCCUUCCCUGCCUUUCCGACCGCCUACCUUCUUGCCGCUCUACGAGACGGGAGGAUGUAGGACACACCUAUGCCAAGCAAGGACACCUCGUAAGGUGUGCAGCGGACUUCUAUAAUGAACGGGCGUAGGGUGACCGAUGCUCUCCCCUUCUCUGAGAGAUCCCUUGCAACGACACCUACCACUCGCAUUCCAACCUGACCUUGAUCUAUGUCCGUCAUGACAUAAAUGGUCCGCGGUUCACAGGUCUACUGAUUCCAGGGGAGAUAAACGGGGUGAGACUUCUUGGCCUUUUGUCAACCCGACGGUCCAGAGGCCGACUACUUCGUCUCGACAUACCUCACCGCAAAUACGUCCCCACCCGUUUCACCUUCUGACAGUCUGCUUACCAGCGCGUCCGCCUGUUUCGUGGAGGGAACAGAAGUGAGACACCAACACUAUAGCCCUAUACUAGUUAUCACACGACACAGCCUCCAUAUAUCAUUUGUGACUAUUGUUGAUAUGGUGCUCUAGAAAAUAAAAACUAAAAGCACACUA